rnacentral:misc_RNA from 1 species
CUAAGGAAUAUUACGGAAACUUACACAUUCGUCGACACUUUGUUCAGUUUUGAGAGGUUUACUCUUAUAAGUGAAAAGUAAUCAUCUGAUUCUCUUUCUUAUUUAUAUGAUUCUCUCAAACGAAUUGUUCAUUGAAAACUGGAUAUUGAAGUAAAAAAGUAAUCAAAACAAACCGAGAACACCGCGUUGAAUGAGUUUUUUAAUUAAAAUAGUUCGAAGCUUAUUUUAUUGGUCACGCCUCUAUCGCUAGAGAAACGAACCAAACAAAACCGAUCGUAAGAUCGUAA